rnacentral:rRNA from 1 species
UACGUAGGUGGCAAGCGUUAUCCGGAUUUACUGGGUGUAAAGGGCGUGUAGGCGGGAUGGUAAGUCAGAUGUGAAAACUAUGGGCUCAACCCAUAGCCUGCAUUUGAAACUGCCAUACUGGAGUGCCGGAGAGGUAAGUGGAAUUCCUAGUGUAGCGGUGAAAUGCGUAGAUAUUAGGAGGAACACCAGUGGCGAAGGCGGCUUACUGGACGGUAACUGACGCUGAGGCUCGAAAGCGUGGGGAGCAAACAGG